UGGGGAAUCUUGCACAAUGGGGGAAACCCUGAUGCAGCAACGCCGCGUGAGCGAAGAAGUAUUUCGGUAUGUAAAGCUCUAUCAGCAGGGAAUAGAAAAGAAGGUACCUGACUAAGAAGCCCCGGCUAACUACGUGCCAGCAGCCGCGGUAAUACGUAGGGGGCAAGCGUUAUCCGGAUUUACUGGGUGUAAAGGGAGCGUAGACGGCUGUUUAAGUCAGAAGUGAAAGCCCAUUGCUUAACGAUGGGACUGCUUUUGAAACUAAGGAGCUAGAGUGCAGGAGAGGUAAGUGGAAUUCCUAGUGUAGCGGUGAAAUGCGUAGAGAUUAGGAGGAACACCAGUGGCGAAGGCGGCUUACUGGACUGUAACUGACGUUGAGGCUCGAAAGCGUGGGGAGCAAACAGG
rnacentral:rRNA from 1 species